AAAAUCCGUCGAUUCUUGAAAUCCGUGAGGGUUCAAGUCCCUCUAUCCC
rnacentral:tRNA from 1 species